rnacentral:misc_RNA from 1 species
GGCAGAGGUUCUGAUACAUGCAUCUCCCUCAUUAAUCUCCAAAACAAAUAACUAUGGAGAUACUUUUCUCCAUAUGGCAGUGUCAGGAUUUCGAACCCCAGGUUUCCACAGAGUAGAUAGGCAGAUAGAACUCAUAAAGCAGUUAGUAAGCGGUAGGAUUGUAAACAUCCAAGGGAUCAUCAAUGUCAGGAACAAUGAUGGAAGAACGGCCCUUCACA